UACGUAGGGGGCAAGCGUUGUCCGGAUUUAUUGGGCGUAAAGAGCGUGUAGGCGGCUUCACAGGUCCGCUGUGAAAACUCGAGGCUCAACCUCGAGCUGUCGGUGGAAACCGUGUGGCUAGAGUCCGGAAGAGGAGAGUGGAAUUCCCGGUGUAGCGGUGAAAUGCGCAGAUAUCGGGAGGAACACCAAUGGCGAAGGCAGCACUCUGGGACGUGACUGACGCUGAGGCGCGAAAGCUAGGGGAGCAAACAGG
rnacentral:rRNA from 1 species